rnacentral:rRNA from 1 species
GCAUGUGGUUUAAUUCGAAGCAACGCGAAGAACCUUACCAGGUCUUGACAUCCCUGACAACCCGAGAGACGUCGGGCGUUCCCCUUCGGGGGACAGGGUGACAGGUGGUGCAUGGUUGUCGUCAGCUCGUGUCGUGAGAUGUUGGGUUAAGUCCCGCAACGAGCGCAACUCUCGACCUUAGUUGCCAGCGAGUCAAGUCGGGCACUCUAAGGUGACUGCCGGCUAAAAGUCGGAGGAAGGUGGGGAUGACGUCAAGUCAUCAUGCCCCUUAUGACCUGGGCUACACACGUGCUACAAUGGGCGGUACAAAGGGUCGCGAACCCGCGAGGGGGGAGCCAAUCCCAAAAAGCCGCUCUCAGUUCGGAUUGCAGGCUGCAACUCGCCUGCAUGAAGCCGGAAUCGCUAGUAAUCGCGGAUCAGCAUGCCGCGGUGAAUACGUUCCCGGGCCUU